AUGGCCACCGCCGGAACCAAGCCGUCAACCAUGCGCGCCGUCCAGUACAGCGGAUACGGUGGCGGCGCCGCAGCACUCAAGUACGUGGAUAUCCCUGUCCCUUCACCGAAGAAAGAUGAGGUUCUUAUAAGGAUUGAAGCAGCAAGCAUAAAUCCAGCGGAUUGGAAUAUCCAGAAAGGCUUGCUACGUCCUUUCGUUCCUAAGUUCCCGUUUAUUCCAGUAACCGAUGUUGCUGGAGAGGUUGUUGAGGUAGGCCCUGCGGUUCAAGAGUUGAAAGUCGGUGACAAAGUUGUGUCCAAAUUAGUCUUCUGGAAAUCUGGCGGCCUCGCUGAGUAUGUUGCAGCAUCAGAGAGCAUCACCGUCGCCCGCCCUGCCGGAAUAUCCGCUGCUGAUGCCGCAGGGCUGCCCCUCGCCGGCUUCACUGCUUUGCAGGCCUUGAGGGCCAUUGGGACCAAGUUUGACGGCACGGGCAGCGGCAGCAACAUCCUGAUCACCGCGGGGUCAGGCGGCAUCGGCACUUACGCAGUUCAGCUGGCCAAGCUCGGAAACCACAAUGUCACGGCAACCUGCGGUGCACGCAACCUGGAGGUCGUCGCGAACAUCGGUGCCGAUGAGGUGCUUGAUUACAAGACCCCGGAAGGUGCGGCCCUGAAAAAUUCUUCGGGCAAGAAGUACGACUACAUCGUGAACAUCACGAGCGAUGGCAAGUGGUCGGCCUUCAAGCCGGCCCUCAACUUCCCUGGCAGAGUUGUCGACAUAGCUUCCAACUUUUGGAACUUCGUCGCAUCAAUUUUGACAUUUUCCAAGAAAAAGCUAUCCAUUAUGAUUGCAUCGAUGGAGAAGGAGGACUUGAGGUUCCUGCUUGACCUGAUGAAGGAAGGGAAGCUCAAGACGGUUGUCGACUCACGGCACCCUUUUGAGAAGGUAGCUGAUGCGUGGGAGAAGAGCAUGAGCGGCCACGCGACAGGAAAGGUCAUUGUUGAGAUGUGA
rnacentral:rRNA from 1 species